rnacentral:lncRNA from 1 species
AUUUAUUCAUGCACUGCAUGAAGGAUGGAAGCAGGAUGAAUAAAUCACAGAGCAUUGCCCCUCUCCCCACUCAGGGUCUGUGAAGAGAGCUGGAGCAGAAUACAGUCCAGGCAUUAUGUCAACUUUCAGGGGACCUGGGGCAGGUGGCCGAUUCUCACAGAGACCCCACUUCCCUUUCCUGUGAAAAAUACCACAGCCCAACAGCCACUGGAGAACAGUGUUCUUCUGGAAGCUUCCUCUGGGCAGGAGGAGUCAAAGAUCCUGGUCCUCAGGGACACUUGAGAUGGGUGUGCCCAAAGCUGUGCAGGAUGGUUUGGUUUGUUUUGUUUUUCUUUGCCUCAGGAAGAAUGUGUUCACAAACCUCAGGACAAAUCGUUUAAAAAAGUGUCCUGACAGUUGUCAUGCUUCAUCACUUGAUUUAGAGGCAAUAGGACAGCCUUAUUUUCUUCUAAUCUCUGGUGGUUGAGGAGUCUGGUUGGCCUGGCAGAAGGCUGAGAUUGGCUGAGGGAGUCAUGAGCGAGCAGGGGCCUCUGGUGCCUGAAGCGCCCCUCAGGAAGAGCGGGUCUCACCGGAAGGCCACACUCAUCUCCUUCCUGGUUACCCAGUGUGGGGAUUUGCUACUUUGCUGAGUGUGUUUUGUCUACAUUCAUGGUGCUCCAGAACUGUGUCUGUGUUUCUCACAUUCUCUUUCGUGUCUGCCAGAGCAACAUUCUCAGCAAACCAUCUGAAUGCAACUCCUGUGAUCACAAAAGUCAAUCACUGAUGGAAAUGAAGACCACGACCCUGAUUCCUCAGGCACAGGUUUUCAUCUGUCACUAUGUGCUAAAAGCAAACCAGCAAGUGAGGGUGUCACUGUCAACUGCUCCUUGUCGUGAGAUUCCCACCUUUCCCUCAAGACAUCUCAGAUAUCAUAUGUAACCUUGACCCUGUGUCCCACAGCAACAGCGGUCAUUGAGUGUAAAGCCUUUUCCUUGAGGAUUGUGGUAGACAGAAUGCCCCCCAAAGGUGACUAUGCUUGAAUCCAUGGAAACUGAACAUGUCACCUUCUAUGGCAAAAGGGACUUUGCAGACGUGAUUAAGGUUAAAGACCUUAAAUUAGAGGGAGUACCCUGGACUAUCCAGGUGUCUAAUCUAAUCCCAUGAGACUUCAAAUGCAGAGAGCUUUCUCUGGCUGGAGUCAAAGAGAUGUGACAAAAGAGGUCGUCGGAGAGAUUGGAAGUGUGAGAAAGACCCGACCUACUGUUUCUGGGGAGCCCACCUGGAAAGCACGAGAAGGGACACAGGCAACCUUUGGGAACAAAGACUGCCAGCCACAAGGAAAAGACAGCAGUCCUCUAGCCACAAGAAACCGAAUUCAGCCAGCAACCUGGACAAGCUAGAAGAGCAUUCUUCCCCAGAACCUUUAGGAGGAAGUGAGGCCUUGCAGAUACCCUGAUUUUGGCUUUUGAGACACUAAACAGAGGAUCCAACUGAGUUCAACUGGCCCAGAAACUGAGAUAUGUUUGGACUGUUUUAAGUUGCUACGUUUGUGGUAAUUUAUUUUGGUGGCAACUGAAAAUGAAUGUAAUUGUAUAUUAGAAAAAUUGAAGGUAGAAGCUCUAAUACUUUCUCCCCACACCCCAGUGGUUCAUCAUGUGCAGCACUCAGGGUGUGGAAAUUCCAUUUUGAAGACACCGUCUUCCAGGAUUCUAACCCCCACCUGGGAAAGGUCCUGGAGAGAACUUCUAGCAUGUAUUUCUGAGCCAUUCACAUUUAACCCAGAGAGAGAAGGUGUCCUGCCCAAACGCAAAGCAGCAUGGCGGUAGUUCUGGACAUAACCUUAACAAUUGCCAGGAACUCUCUGGAUGUCCAUCCAUCAGCCCUAUCUAGUCUUUUUGUCUGCAUGGCAUUGUGGGGGAUGUGGCGAUGAGGGCCAGGAUCGCAGAAGUCAGAGUACCCGUGGCUGGAGCUUCCAUUUUAAAUGAAGUGUUCUUGCUUAUGGCUUGAUGGUAUCCUUUCAGAUUUUGCAUCUGGCUGUACUCCAGAUGUUUAUAUAGAAACUUCACAGUAGACAUGAUGGUGGCGUAGGUUUGCAGGAAGGAUCCUUUCCUACUUACAGAGUGACCCAAUGUGGCCGAUCCCUUCAAUAUUUACAACAGCUGGGUGAGUGGAGGCAUGAUCAACUCCAUUUACCCGUCAAAUAAAUGAAAUUUCAGAGCGGUUACACAAUCUGCUUGAGGUAACAAGGCCAGCAAGCCACAGAGCCAACAUACCCCUGGUGCCUGGCUCCACAGGAGUCUGGGAAGAGGGAGAGGAAGAUGGGGACAGGAUGUAUCACCAGGAUGCUAGGGGAAGAGAGAAUAUUGACGUGUGGGGCAGCCUGCAUCCCCAAAUCAGGAGCACUGGGUGCUGCUGUGUUACAGUGAGUGUAGGAGCAUGCCGUUCUGGGCUUCACUCUGCCCAAAUAUGUCUUGCUCAUUUUCACCGCCAUAUGGCUGCUCGUCCCGGUCUGUUUGAGGUUCCUUCCUGUUCCCUCUCUGCCUCUAAGUCCUUCAAAAAGCCAACUGGAAGUGCCUCUUCCAGGCUUUCCUUAGCCUUUCUUUAUUCCCUUGAACUUCUAUUAUGUUAAUUGUUCAAAAGAUUAGUUCUGACACUUACCCUAUGCUGCUUUGUAUUACUAUUGGAAAACAACAGUAGCUCUCUCAACCCAUUGGGUGGAUGGUACAUGCCAUGCUUUAUACAUUCCCGUGGCCCUGCUGUACCUGGCACACACAAA